rnacentral:rRNA from 1 species
UGGGGAAUAUUGGACAAUGGGGGCAACCCUGAUCCAGCAAUGCCGCGUGUGUGAAGAAGGUUUUCGGAUUGUAAAGCACUUUCGGCGGGGACGAUGAUGACGGUACCCGCAGAAGAAGCCCCGGCUAACUUCGUGCCAGCAGCCGCGGUAAUACGAAGGGGGCUAGCGUUGCUCGGAAUGACUGGGCGUAAAGGGCGUGUAGGCGGUUUGUACAGUCAGAUGUGAAAUCCCCGGGCUUAACCUGGGAGCUGCAUUUGAUACGUGCAGACUAGAGUGUGAGAGAGGGUUGUGGAAUUCCCAGUGUAGAGGUGAAAUUCGUAGAUAUUGGGAAGAACACCGGUGGCGAAGGCGGCAACCUGGCUCAUGACUGACGCUGAGGCGCGAAAGCGUGGGGAGCAAACAGGAUUAGAUACCCUGGUAGUCCACGCUGUAAACGAUGUGUGCUGGAUGUUGGGCAACUUAGUUGUUCAGUGUCGUAGCUAACGCGAUAAGCACACCGCCUGGGGAGUACGGCCGCAAGGUUGAAACUCAAAGUGAAUU